rnacentral:sRNA from 1 species
UUGGGAACUCACUGGCUUCGAGUUCCAUUGGAACUUCGAAGUUAAGCGAAUAGCACGCGAGAGCAAUCCCAUGAUGGGUGACCCACUGGGAAGUUCUCAUGUGAGUUCCCAGAAACAAAACCGUGAGGGCGUAGUCGAGGCCUAAAGCGGACAAUAUCGUGCUACGGUGGUGGAACGGGCCCGGGAAGUGGUCUGCCUCGAGCCGGGAUGUGGCAAAUGGUAUCAUAGCCAAUCCCUGGCCGAAAGUGUGCCGACGAGGAUGUCGGGCCCCUAAGAAGAGUGGAUUGUAACAUCCCAUAUCGCCCAUGGGAGUGAUCCUUAAAUGUAUAUUCCCACCCUUACCUAGCACGAGGCCUUUUGGGAGCUCACUGGUUUCGGGUUCCAUUAGAACUCCGAAGUUAAGCAAGUAGCGCACAAGAGCACUCCCAUGAUGGAUGACCCACUGGGAAGUUCUUGUGUAAGUUCCC